rnacentral:rRNA from 1 species
UACGUAGGGUGCAAGCGUUAAUCGGAAUUACUGGGCGUAAAGCGUGCGCAGGCGGUUAUAUAAGACAGGUGUGAAAUCCCCAGGCUCAACCUGGGAACUGCGUCUGAUACUGGAUGGCUUGAAUCCGGGAGAGGGAUGCAGAAUUCCAGGUGUAGCGGUGAAAUGCGUAGAUAUCUGGAGGAAUACCGGUGGCGAAGGCGGCAUCCUGGACCGGCAUUGACGCUGAGGAGCGAAAGCUAGGGGAGCAAACGGG